rnacentral:rRNA from 1 species
AACGUAGGACGCGAGCGUUAUCCGGAGUUACUGGGCGUAAAGGGCGGGUAGGCGGCAUAUCAAGUUGGUUGUGAAAUCUCCCGGCUAAACUGGGAGGGUGCAAUCGAAACUGAUAGGCUAGAGGACAGCAGAGGGCCGUGGAAUUCCGGGUGGAGUGGUGAAAUGCGUAGAGAUCCGGAGGAACACCAGAGGCGAAAGCGGCGGCCUGGGCUGUAACUGACGCUGAACCGCGAAAGCCAGGGGAGCGAACGGG